CAAUGCUAUUGCAUUGACACGAAAUCAAGAUAAAUACCAAACUUCAAUCUUAUAUCCCAAGGUGGCGAGCAGCGUUUACGUCAUGGUGCUUAUGAUUAUGGACUGACUAGUACUACUUAACAAUGUCGGCCAUAGCGAGUGCUUCUUCUCUUCUUGCAGUUUAAAAUCAAAUCUCAAACUGAUGUUGGGAAGUUACUAUGUAAAGAAAAUAAAGCUGUAUUGGCUGAUAAAAAAAAUUACAUUUAGGUUCCGACCACCAAGACCAGUCAAAACGCCAAGAUCUUUUAAUCUUUGAUGCAUUCUUAUCAUGCAAUUGUCACUCAAAUUUUCUUUAGUGCCUGGUCUAACUAGUUCCAUUGCCAACAUCAGACCUUUACCCCUGACGUCACCAAUAAUCGGAAAUUGUUGUUGAAGCUGUAUUAAUUGACGAAUAAAAUAUUCUCCUAUCUUCUUGCAAUGAUCUUGAAUGUUUUCAUCGUCAAUCACCUUAAAAAUACAGAACUAUUAAAGUGGAAUGAAACGACAUCUCAUUUACUGAAAAUUCGUUUGCUGACUUGAAGCCGACUUCGAUUAAGAUAUCAGAUACUAUGCAAUCUGCUUAGUAAAAUUAAAAGUUUUGUCUAUCCUAAUAAAUAAUAUAAUAAUAAAUAAUACAAUAAAAUCUA